CUUAUAGAAAAUCCUAACAAAGAAAACAGUAGUACUUGAGCGUAGGGCGAUCGAACACGAUCUGGUUUGAAGCGGUUUAAGCAUUUGGUUAGGUGUAUAAAAGUUGUGGUGUGUCGGAUUGUAACACAACCGCCAGCAAAGGCAGUGAAAAUUGCUCAUUCUUUAAAGCAAAAUGGGAAAACUCAGAAUGCACGGAAAAUCUGUGUCGAGUUCAUCGAUUUGAAGAUGAUCAGCGGCAGCAUGAUUACCGGAAAUAGCCAUACAGCGGCGUUGUGUCGCAGUGCUGACCGUGGAGCUGCAGACAUGCGCAAUACACCGGACGUGACUCGGAGCGGAAGCAGCAACCGCCGUCGUACCGUGGUCGUGCACAUCUGUGGGUGGAACAUUGACCCCGGAUAAUUCGACUAAAGGGAUGCAACUGGCUCCUAUGAGGAACCUCGAGAGUUGCACCCCCCACCCCCUACGCGCGAAAAAAAAGAUUGGAAGACUUGACAACAAACCGCACAUUGAUUCAGGCGCUCUCUUACUGAGAAACGAACGAACAUUAAAACAUGCGUCUGCAUAAAGUCAUCCAUUUUCGUAUCUAUUUAUUUAUUUAUUUCAUAUGUAAUUAAAUGAAUAAAGAAAAAAUCUUUCAACUCAUUAACAAGUAUAUUUUGUUUAUCGAACAAAUAUGUUUUCAUUGUUAUUAUGCCCCCCUUCGAAGAAGAGGGGGUAUAUUGCUUUGCUCAUGUCGGUCGGUCGUUAGGUCGGUCUGUCGGUCGGUAGGUCGGUCGGUCGGUCGGUCCGUCCACCAGGUGGUUGUCCUAUGAUAACUCAAGAACGCUUGGGGCUAGGAUCAUGAAACUUCAUAGGUACAUUGAUCAUGACUCGCAGAUGACCCCUAUUGAUUUUGAGGUCACUAGGUCAAAGGUCAAGGUCACGGUGACCCGAAAUAGUAAAAUGGUUUCCAGAUGAUAACUCAAGAACGCAUACGCUUAGGAUCAUGAAACUUCAUGGGUAGAUUGAUCAUGACUCGCAGAUGACCCCUAUUGAUUUUGAGGUCACUAGGUCAAAGGUCAAGGUCACGGUGACCCGAAAUAGUAAAAUGGUUUCCGGAUGAUAACUCAAGAACGCAUACGCCUAGGAUCAUGAAACUUCAUGGGUAGAUUGAUCAUGACUCACAGAUGACCCCUAUCAAUUUUGAGGUCACUAGGUCAAAGGUCAAGGUCACGGUGACCCGAAAUAGUAAAAUGGUUUCCGGAUGAUAACUUAAGAACGCAUACGCCUAGGAUCAUGAAACUUCAUGGGUAGAUUGAUCAUGACUUGCAGAUGACCCCUAUUGUUUUUGAGGUCACUAGGUCAAAGGUCAAGGUCACGGUGACCUGAAAUAGUAAAAUGGUUUUCGGAUGAUAACUCAAGAACGCAUACGCCUAGGAUCAUGAAACUUCAUAGGUAGAUUGAUCAUGACUCGCAGAUGACCCCUAUUGAUUUUGAGGUCAAAGGUCAAGGUCACGGUGACCCGAAAUAGUAAAAUGAUUUUCGGAUGAUAACUCAAGAACGCUUUUGCCUAGGAACAUGACACUUCAUAGGUACAUUGAUCGUGACUCGCAAAUGACCCCUAUUGAUUUUCAGGUCACUGGGUCAAAGGUCAAGGUCACAGUGACAAAAAUCGUACUCACACAAUGGCUGCCACUACAAUGGACAGCCCAUAUGGGGGGCAUGCAUGUUUUACAAACAGCCCUUGUUAACAAUUCCAUCAAGAGCUAGUUUGACAUGUACGGAUACAAAAACGAUUCAAAUUAUCUUUAAAGUUUGUUUUUUUUCUGUGAAAGUGUUAUCAAUCUUCACUUUUCCUCAAACAAAAGUUUAACAGAGACUCACAUAAAUCAUGAGGAUAUGAUAUUGAGUUAAGAUUUAGCCAAAAUGCUGAAGUUAAGUGUAUACCUGAUAACUCGUUUAAGUCUUUCAGUUUAUUUGCAAUGCAUAUAGGCUAAGAAACGUUGAUUUACCUCGGCUUAUACAACCUGACGUUUAAGUGCUGAGCACUUAAGCUUAUAUCAGAGAUCUACAUCUCUGCUUAUAUGUAUUCGAAACGUUUACCUAAUCCUUCUUUUCCCAUUCCAACUACCAAUUAGCUCAGUUUUGUAGUUUCGAAAAACAUGAAAAUGGCAAAAAGGGAUGCAUAUCAAAUAAC